rnacentral:rRNA from 1 species
GACGGACGCUGGCGGCGUGCUUAACACAUGCAAGUCGAACGGUAAGGCCCUUCGGGGUACACGAGUGGCGAACGGGUGAGUAACACGUGGGUGAUCUGCCCUGCACUUCGGGAUAAGCCUGGGAAACUGGGUCUAAUACCGGAUAGGACCACUGCCUGCAUGGGUGGUGGUGGAAAGCUUUUGCGGUGUGGGAUGGGCCCGCGGCCUAUCAGCUUGUUGGUGGGGUGAUGGCCUACCAAGGCGACGACGGGUAGCCGGCCUGAGAGGGUGACCGGCCACACUGGGACUGAGAUACGGCCCAGACUCCUACGGGAGGCAGCAGUGGGGAAUAUUGCACAAUGGGCGCAAGCCUGAUGCAGCGACGCCGCGUGAGGGAUGACGGCCUUCGGGUUGUAAACCUCUUUCAGCAUCGACGAAGCGCAAGUGACGGUAGGUGCAGAAGAAGGACCGGCCAACUACGUGCCAGCAGCCGCAGUAA